rnacentral:rRNA from 1 species
UACGUAGGGAGCAAGCGUUGUCCGGAAUCAUUGGGCGUAAAGCGCGCGUAGGUGGCCAUGUAAGUCCGCUGUGAAAGUCAAAGGCUCAACCUUUGAAAGCCGGUGGAUACUGCAUGGCUAGAGUACGGAAGAGGCGAGUGGAAUUCCUGGUGUAGCGGUGGAAUGCGCAGAUAUCAGGAGGAACACCAAUAGCGAAGGCAGCUCGCUGGGACGUUACUGACACUGAGGCGCGAAAGCGUGGGGGAGCGAACAGG